rnacentral:rRNA from 1 species
CCUACGGGCGGCUGCAGUGGGGAAUAUUGGACAAUGGGGGGAACCCUGAUCCAGCCAUGCCGCGUGUGUGAAGAAGGCCCUCGGGUUGUAAAGCACUUUCAGUGAGGAAGAACGCCUGGUGGUUAAUACCCAUCAGGAAAGACAUCACUCACAGAAGAAGCACCGGCUAACUCCGUGCCAGCAGCCGCGGUAAUACGGAGGGUGCGAGCGUUAAUCGGAAUUACUGGGCGUAAAGCGCGUGUAGGUGGCUUGAUAAGCCGGUUGUGAAAGCCCCGGGCUCAACCUGGGAACGGCAUCCGGAACUGUCAAGCUAGAGUGCAGGAGAGGAAGGUAGAAUUCCCGGUGUAGCGGUGAAAUGCGUAGAGAUCGGGAGGAAUACCAGUGGCGAAGGCGGCCUUCUGGACUGACACUGACACUGAGGUGCGAAAGCGUGGGUAGCAAACAGGAUUAGAUACCCCAGUAGUC